AUUAAGCCAUGCAUGUCUAAGUACACAGUUUUGUAAACUGAAACCGCGGAUGGCUCAUUAUAACAGCUAUGAUUUGAGAGAUAUAAUCUAUUUGCCAUAAGAUAACUGUGGUAAUUCUAGAGCUAAUAUUUUAAAGAAUGCCGUGACUCACGAAGCGGCGGAUUUAUUAGAUCAAAACUAACCUGUCGCAAGGCAGAAUUUUGAUGACUCUGGAUAACUUAACUGAUCGUACAACAUUUGUUGACGACGAAUCUCUUGAAAUGGCUGACCUAUCAACUUUCGAUGGUAAGAUCAAAGCUUACCAUGGUUGUAACGGGUAACGGGGAAUCAGUGUUCGAUUCCGGAGAGGGAGCCUGAGAAACGGCUACCACAUCCACGGAAGGCAGCAGGCGCGAAAAUUACCCAAUACCGGUUCGGUGAGGUAGUGACAAUAAAUAACAAUAUGGGCCCUAGUGGUUUCAUAAUUGCAAUGAGAAUAUUUUAAAUACUUUAUCAAGUAUCAAUUGGAGGGCAAGUCUGGUGCCAGCAGCCGCGGUAAUUCCAGCUCCAAAAGCGUAUAUUAAAUUUGUUGCAGUUAAAAAGCUCGUAGUUGAAAUUGAGGAAUUAUUCAUUAGGCGAUCUUUGAUUGCAUUUUGAAUUCUCCUUUCCGUCGUGUAUAUUGAUGAAUCACUUAAUUGGGAUUUUUUAAUAACCGACAAGUUUACUUUGAAAAAAUUAGAGUGCUUAAAGCAGGCUUUUGCCUGUAUAUUGUUGCAUGGAAUAAUGAAAUAAGACUUCGGUUUUAUUUUGUUGGUUUUCGAAACUGAAGUAAUGAUUAAAAGAGACUGCCGGGGGCAUAUGUAUGCUGGUGCUAGAGGUGAAAUUCUGAGACCAUCAGCAGACAAUCUACUGCGAAAGCAUUUGCCAAGAAUGUUUUCAUUAAUCAAGAACGAAAGUCAGAGGAUCGAAGACGAUCAGAUACCGUCCUAGUUCUGACCAUAAACUAUGCCAACUGACAGUUAGCGAUGAUAUUUUAUCAUCUUGCUAGAAGUCACCGGGAAACCAAAGUCUUUGGGUUCCGGGGGAAGUAUGGUUGCAAAGCUGAAACUUAAAGGAAUUGACGGAAGGGCACCACCAGGAGUGGAGCCUGCGGCUUAAUUUGACUCAACACGGGAAAUCUCACCCGGUCCGGACACUGUGAGGAUUGACAGAUUGAUAGCUCUUUCUUGAUUCGGUGGGUGGUGGUGCAUGGCCGUUCUUAGUUGGUGGAGCGAUUUGUCAGGUUAAUUCCGAUAACGAACGAGACUCUGACUUACUAAAUAGUGGAUUUAUUUUAAUUCGUAAAUAAUCACUUCUUAGAAGAAUAAAUAGCGUU
rnacentral:rRNA from 1 species